CAAGUUAGGCUUCCGAAAGAGGCAAAGGUUCGGCCGCCGAACCUCAUGUUCGGCCGCCGAACUUGCAUGAGUUUUGGAGGCACUUUAGGCUGCCGAAGGGUGGUCUGGCCAGCCCUUAUAUAAGGGCUCCAUGGCCGAAACGGGCGAGCUUUCUCCCCAUUUUCGGCCAACGGUGAGUCCAUGCUCUCCCAUGGUCGUUUUUGAUGUUUUUCCUCCAAUCUUUCAAGUUUUAACAAGU
rnacentral:lncRNA from 1 species